GAAUGCUUGGACACAAAAAAUACACAACCUUAUAAUGUGUUUUUUUUAUAUAUUUGUGAUAGAUAUAUGUAUGUAUUAAUUAGUAUUGUUGCAUACAGUUUUCUGCAAAAUUUUCGAGUAUAAAAAGAUUGGAGCCGGCUUUAGGAACUACAUAUAUACCGCUGGUAAUCCGUUUGUCCAUGACUUUGGCGCUGUUGAGUUCUGAUUGACUAGAGCAAGUUUCCGGGUGUUUCUUUGGAAGUGGCGAAAAAAAUAGAAUCUUAACUUAAUCGAACAUUAGUGCCGAGAGAACAACUUGGUUUUACGGCAUACCAGAUGUGAUUGGGCGCGUAUACACUCAGUCGCAUUUAUUUUCAAAAGCCCGAACAAGAUGGCUUUUCAUGAAUCAAAAAGAGGAAAAUGGCUUGAAUGGAAUGGUGGCAAGUUAAUCUACAUAUUCGCGUAUAUUUUCUUAUAUUUUUAUGUAAACGAUUCGUUCGUACGGUUUGCCACCCUGAAAUGAAGGUAAUUGCACUUAAUUUUAGAUGUCUGGGAUGGAUCCACGACUCGCAUAUACGAAGACUCCAAUGAAAGGGUUCACAUGGGAAACCGUUGGAAUGGAGGCCAAAGUAAUGCUCAGCUGCUUGCAAUUUUUAGGUGAUAGUGGGAAUCCGUUACAGCUGCGGUUUUUGGCACCAGAGAACCAGUGGAUUUAAUUAAAAAAAACCAUAAUAUUCAUUGCAAGCAAGGAAUUUUAUGGAAAUAUACAAUUAUUUAUAUAAAUUGAUUUGGAAUUAUAAUCUAUAAUUACAAUCGAAUGUUUGUACUCCAAUUGAUAAGCGCACAGUAAUUUUCUUGUGUACAAGUGCAGCCUAAUCAGAUCAAUUACUUAUGGUUCCUUGAUUGUCAACAAAGCAGGAAGGAUGCUAAUUGGACGGAAGUUUUCAGAAAAACUUGACGCUGGAGUAAUUACUUUCAGGUCGUCAGGGAAGGACCAAGUCGUUAUGAUGUGGUUUAAUAUAUGAAUUAAAGGUAGAACGAUAUUGGCGUGCGCGACAGCACUUGAAUUCACAGACAGCCACUCUUCUUUAGUUGUGAAAGCCCUAAAUUGAAACGCUUCACUGUGUCCAUAUAACGCGUCAUAACUCUACACUAAACAUCAUUUAACCUAUCAGGCCAAACUUCAUACUUCGGUAGACUGUUUCUAAUGCCAAGCUCCGCUAGUUCUUCCAAAGGACCUUAGAAGGAACAUUAGCAUGAAACUUCUUACAAUGAUAACGUCUCUUCAUACACCUUGAUAUUAUGCGCCCUAUUUUUAGAUUUUCGAAAAGGUACCCAAUUAAACACAUUAGGGAGGUAUUUUCACUUCCUGUACGCCCCAUUACCAAGUGUGGUUGCGCUUCUAACUUUUCCGCUAAGCACGAAAUAACCAACUCCACGGGACACAUCAUUUAGGCGCUUCAAGCUAAUUGACUUAAAAUCUCUAUAACUAAAAGACAUCUGGAAAAUCGAUCAUAAUCUAUAAUCAACAAAAAGGCCAGAAGUUAAUCAGGGUCAAUCCCUAGGAUAAAUUUGAGUCAUACAAUUGAUUGGUACGAAGAUCACCCAAGGAUGUUCUCACAGCAAACGAGUAUCUCAUCCAUCGCCCGGGAAGGUCAUCCAAGCAGUUAUUUCUAUGGAUUAUCUUCGCGUGACGCAAACAUUGAUUAACGUAACAUCGUGACGGACCAUGUUAUAAUAUUUGGAAAACUUUUGUCAAUGUACGUUCUAAACUAUGUUUAAAUUGUGCAAAAAACAUCAGAUGCUAAAGCGUCCAACAAAUAAUUGAAAUGAUCAACUUUUGGCUUAGUUAAGCUACACAUGUGAGAUGACAAAGUUGAAAUUCCUUAUAUGCUUUCCUAACAAUUUACAAGGCUAUCUCCAUGGUAACUUUGCAAGUAGAUUCGAAUUUUAGUAACAGCUGCAGACGAUGUUAAUUCCUGAACAGUACCUGCACUAAGAGUAGAAGAUGAUAGCACAUCUGCCCGUUUAAAUCAAACAAAUUUUGUAAUUAAUCGACCUGGAUUAUUUUGUGGUCAAUGGUCAGAAAUUUCUGAGACUAAUCCUAGUUUUAUAAUAAUCGUAAUUGAAAGAGCUCCUGUAAAAACUUUCAUUAAACUAAUUACAAAAUAAUUUAAACUCUUCAUUAGAUGACUGAUAGCAAGUAUUGGUUUCUUAAACCACUAAAUAAUGAAAUUAAAAAAUUAGUUAAAAUAUAACAUAAGCUAACAAGCUAGUCAAACUUUAUUAAUUAUUAAUAUUUUUUAAUCUCUCAAAAAGACGCAAUUAGAUGAUUAAGUUUAUUUAUUGCAUUUUCAAUUAUAUUUAUAAUUUUUAAUAUAA